UGAACACUUUUUUAACCUAAAAUAAUUGGUAUAUAGUUUGGGAAGGGAGGUUCCAAAUUUGCAUAGAUUUUUCUCCUGCUUGAAGACUAUUCCUGACUGUUUUUUGAAUCUGUGGCCUUUUUUGGUCAGUUUAGAUUAACUAUCUUUUGUAUAUUUAAAUGUAGUGUAAUCUGCUGUUUCUUCUCCGGUCCAGCCAGCUGAUGCACUUUUUUUGAGUGACAGAUAUUGUAAACAUCCUACACUCUCAGCUGUGGAAAUAGAGAAAGCUGGGAGAAGGCUGUUUACGCUGUCUGCCUUGGAUAGCAACAGAAAGGAAGUCGCUAGCUACAUUGAUUUCUCUGAUGCUACUGUCAUUGUAUACCUGGUCUUCUAACUCUUUUGUUUCAUUAUAUCUUCAGUAAUUUUGUAUCUGCAUGUUUCUUAAACAUGUCAAUAAAACACAAUAAAUUCAAACUUUAUUUAAAAUGUUAUGGUCUUAUUUAAGUAUCCAUUUUUUUCAAUGUGUGACUGAAAUGUAGAAUUUGAAAUAUAAGGACUUGGUAUUUGCAAGCAGAGAUACCGCCUCUCCAAGUAGGCUAUAACUUAUUUU